UGAAUGUUUCUCUUGGCCAUUCCUGACAUAAAAGGAAAACUGAGUCUCAAAAACUAUCUUGUACAGAUUCUCAGACCUACCAUGGGAUGGAACUUACUUAUGAGCCCCAGACUCCAAAAACAUCACAUCCUACCAGAUUCAUGGCUGAAGCGUCUGAAACAAGACUAACAAGACUAACGAGAUUAACAAGAGAAAAACAUACAAAUUUUUAAAAUAUAAGUUGUAUGUGACAUAGAAGCAUUUAUAAAGAAAAGAAGACCAGAAGAAACGGGUAGACCUGGGUAUUUUUAUGCUACUUUUGAUGAAAAUGGGAAUGCUUUUGGAGACGCAUGAGUGAAUAAAAAAAUAUGAUCUAAUGGUAAUAAACUAGAGGAAACAGAGCAAAGUCUGUUCAGAUUCUUCUCUGUGAUGCUUUGUCUUCAGAGUGAAGCCUGAUGGGACAGUGACACGUGACUAGGAUCUCAGCGCUUCCCCUCGGGGUUGGUUCCACAUUUCCCUGGAUAAGUUCCUGGCUACCUAUUUUCCCUCCCAUAUGCUGCUUCCCUCUAUCUCAGUGGGGAC
rnacentral:lncRNA from 1 species